AUUCCAUAAAAAUCUUUGUUUCUGUUGUAACAUUUUUUAUUUUUAGUGCUAUAGAUGUUUUUGUUUUUGUUUUCUUAUUACGUCAUAUGAUGGUGGUAUUCAACUACAUACAAUCUGCAACAAUUCCACGGUACAGUUCUCCCUGCAACACUCAGAUUUUCUAUGAAUGGUUGUACAUGUAUGAUAUCCCUGCGAUGGACAAACUCUCUCCGCAAUAAUCAGACCACUAUGAACGGCUUUAUCCACCAGGCAAUGAGGCCAUAAAUAUUUUUAACAGUUGCUUAGAAUUGAAAAUUUUCUUUUUUGGGUCUUGUUCAAUCUCAUUGGGCAAGACAAAACAAAUUGUUGUGUUAAAAACAUUGGGAAAAUUCCCAAAAAAAAACCGAACUAUUUAAAAUCUGCCAGAAAACUACCUGAACUUUUUUCGUUGUCAGAAAAAUACACAAACUAAUUUUGAGUGAAAAUAAAAUACACGAUCUAUUUUUUUUUUCCAAUUACCUCUCUUCACCGUAACGGACCGUUAACGACGUUAACCAAAUCGUCAAACACUGUUAGUUUUAUUUACA
rnacentral:sRNA from 1 species